UACGUAGGGGGCAAGCGUUAUCCGGAUUUACUGGGUGUAAAGGGAGCGUAGACGGCUGAGGAAGUCUGGAGUGAAAGGCCGGGGCCCAACCCCGGGACUGCUCUGGAAACUCCACGGCUUGAGUGCAGGAGAGGUAAGUGGAAUUCCUAGUGUAGCGGUGAAAUGCGUAGAUAUUAGGAGGAACACCAGUGGCGAAGGCGGCUUACUGGACUGUAACUGACGUUGAGGCUCGAAAGCGUG
rnacentral:rRNA from 1 species